UCACACAUUUUUUUUUAUAUUAUAUUGUGCAAUAAAAGUAGUAAUGACAGUAUGCAGAGAUGUAAACCAGUACAUCAAAGACAAAUAUUCUGUCAACAUAUGCCCUUACUGUCAAAUACUAAAUGAUGGUUCUUAUAUAAAAGUAAGUGACAUAUAACUGAUUCUAGCUGUUACUCGUAGAGCAUGCCUUAACUCAAAUGUUUUUUUACUUCCCUCUAUUUUCUAUGAAGGCAGAAUAAAGACCAAGAUAAAAACUAUUUUUCCCAAGACUGGGAUAUUUGCAUAAUCCAAAAUAUAGAGAAAUGACCCUCACCCAGAAGCUCUGGCUUUUUGUUGGACAAGAUCUGGUAAAAGAUGUGGUAGUCCCUCUCAGCCCUCAGCUGGAAGGUGCAGCGGGAUUUCUCCAGGAGAUCUAGUGAGAAAAUAAUGCAUGGGGCAGCUGGAGGCGGUGCCAGCAGAUCCUGUGCGCAGGUGAUUGGAGUUGGACAGGAUGCCAAUUUCCCAGUUGCUCCAAAAUGAAUCCGGAUGAAUUUACCCUGAUGUAGAAAAAAAAGAGAUGAAAGAGAUGUUAACAAACAGCUGCUGUUAAAUGAAGGGUACGGUUAC